rnacentral:rRNA from 1 species
GCUGGCGGCAUGCUUAACACAUGCAAGUCGAACGUGAAAGCACUUCGGUGUGAGUAGAGUGGCGGACGGGUGAGUAACGCGUGGGAAUCUACCCAGUAGUGGGGGACAACUACCGGAAACGGUAGCUAAUACCGCAUACGCCCUAUGGGGGAAAGGCUUCGGCCGCUAUUGGAUGAGCCCGCGUCAGAUUAGCUAGUUGGUAGGGUAAAGGCCUACCAAGGCAACGAUCUGUAGCUGGUCUGAGAGGACGAACAGCCACACUGGGACUGAGACACGGCCCAGACUCCUACGGGAGGCAGCAGUGGGGAAUAUUGGACAAUGGGCGAAAGCCUGAUCCAGCAAUGCCGCGUGUGUGAAGAAGGCCUGCGGGUUGUAAAGCACUUUCAGUUGGGAAGAUGAUGACGUUACCAACAGAAGAAGCACCGGCUAAAUCCGUGCCAGCAGCCGCGGUAAUACGGAUGGUGCAAGCGUUAAUCGGAAUUACUGGGCGUAAAGCGCGCGUAGGCGGCUAAGUCAGUCA